ACGAAGGGUGCAAGCGUUAAUCGGAAUUACUGGGCGUAAAGCGCGCGUAGGUGGUUUGUUAAGUUGGAUGUGAAAGCCCCGGGCUCAACCUGGGAACUGCAUCCAAAACUGGCAAGCUAGAGUAUGGCAGAGGGUGGUGGAAUUUCCUGUGUAGCGGUGAAAUGCGUAGAUAUAGGAAGGAACACCAGUGGCGAAGGCGACCACCUGGGCUAAUACUGACACUGAGGUGCGAAAGCGUGGGGAGCAAACAGG
rnacentral:rRNA from 1 species